rnacentral:lncRNA from 1 species
GGCGAUGCAAGCUCGAUCCAGAUCUCCUCGAAGCUUCUCCGACACAGAAGACGCAGCGAAAAUGUUGUAAAUGAAGGAAGAAACGAUUACGAACCCUAAUCGGAACAAAAACCCUACAAUGACCUAUGGAACCCUAGAAAAGAGGGGAAACUGGAUUGGGACCGAUUAAACGGUGGGAAUGGUGUUUUAAUCGGUGGAGAUGGAAGAUCGAAGGUUGGAAAGGUGUUUAAUCGGUCUAAAAGCCGAAUCAAUCGGUAGAAAUGGACGGAGAUGAUGAAUGAAGGGUUUUAAUCGGUAGAAAACCUAGCAAGAUGGAGGAGGAGGAUGGAUCUAU